rnacentral:rRNA from 1 species
CCUACGGGAGGCAGCAGUGGGGAAUAUUGCACAAUGGGGGAAACCCUGAUGCAGCGACGCCGCGUGAGUGAAGAAGUAAUUCGGUAUGUAAAGCUCUAUCAGCGGGGAAGAAAAUGACGGUACCUGAGUAAGAAGCCCCGGCUAACUACGUGCCAGCAGCCGCGGUAAUACGUAGGGGGCAAGCGUUAUCCGGAUUUACUGGGUGUAAAGGGAGCGUAGACGGCAGUGCAAGUCUGGAGUGAAAGGCGGGGGCUCAACCCUGGAACUGCUCUGGAAACUGGACGGCUGGAGUGCAGGAGAGGUAAGUGGAAUUCCUAGUGUAGCGGUGAAAUGCGUAGAUAUUAGGAGGAACACCAGUGGCGAAGGCGGCUUACUGGACUGUAACUGACGUUGAGGCUCGAAAGCGUGGGGAGCAAACAGGAUUAGAUACCCGGGUAGUC